CUGGAUCUUCGAGAGAUG
rnacentral:snRNA from 1 species